UGACGCUCUCCCCAAGGACGAAGCCAUACAUGCCCGCUCACCCGGGACGCGGCGGACGGCUCAGGACAACGGUUGCACCCCCCGCGGCGGUCCCUGCUAGCCGGACACCGCUGGCAACCCGGCGCCAAGACGUGCGCGCAAGGGCGGGCGUCCGCGGGCGAGCAGCGUGACGCAGA
rnacentral:rRNA from 1 species